rnacentral:snoRNA from 1 species
UAGUCUCUUGCCUCGCUCAAUCUGCUGUUCCAUCUGCAGAUUUCGAGCUGGAUGCACACGCUUUAUCUCUUUUCUGAGACGUGUGUACGAGACAAGAGUAAAUGCGACGAUCUUUGAGUACGGAACCGCCUGAAUCCAUGUGUCGGACCUCCGUAAUUUAUCUGUCGGAACAUA